UGAGGUCAUUGGGAGAAUCAAAAUGGCUUCAGGAUUGCUCUUCCGUACUAUUUCAGACACAUUUAGAGAUGUGUGCAUUUAUGAACAUUUAUUCUAUAUUUGAGACCUUAGAAUUCCUACAACACUAGGUCCUGUAAGUGGCGUAAAUGCACACUAAAUCCUUCAUGAGGGUCAAUCAGAGGGCAAGCCUGGUGUCAGCAGCCAUAAUUCCACCUCCAAACUCCUUCAUAGGCUAAAUACUGGCAUGAGGCCAAUAGUCAACAAGUACCGUAAGAGGAAAUCGAAAAGAACUUUGAAGAGAGAAUUCAAGAGGGCAUGAAACCAUUAAGAUGAAAAUGCACGGGCAUAAAAUUCACAGUGGGCAUGGCUGGCUGACUCUGACCAAUGGAUGCCUGCCCUACCCUCAUGAAGG